GCCGGGAGUCGGGCGGACGGCGCAGUCGCCAACCUGGUCAGGUCCGGAAGGAAGCAGCCACAACGAUAUCGCUCCGGGUCGUUCCGGCUCCCACUGAC
rnacentral:SRP_RNA from 1 species